GUCUAACCUUCGGGAGGACGAUCACCACGGUGUGGUUCAUGACUGGGGUGAAGUCGUAACAAGGUAGCCGUAGGGGAACCUGCGGCUGGAUCACCUCCUUAACGACGAAGAU
rnacentral:rRNA from 1 species